rnacentral:rRNA from 1 species
CGGGUGAGUAACGCGUGAGUAACCUGCCUUAGAGAAGGGAUAGCCUUUGGAAACGAAGAAUAAUACCCUAUAGCACCAACACUCGCAUGAAGAGUUGGUCAAAGAUUUAUCGCUCUAAGAUGGACUUGCGUCUGAUUAGUUAGUUGGUGAGGUAACGGCCCACCAAGACAGCGAUCAGUAGCCGGCUUGAGAGAGUGUACGGCCACAUUGGGACUGAGACACGGCCCAGACUCCUACGGGAGGCAGCAGCG